rnacentral:rRNA from 1 species
UGGGGAAUUUUGGACAAUGGGCGAAAGCCUGAUCCAGCAAUGCCGCGUGUGUGAAGAAGGCCUUCGGGUUGUAAAGCACUUUUGUCCGGAAAGAAAUCCUUGGCUCUAAUACAGUCGGGGGAUGACGGUACCGGAAGAAUAAGCACCGGCUAACUACGUGCCAGCAGCCGCGGUAAUACGUAGGGUGCAAGCGUUAAUCGGAAUUACUGGGCGUAAAGCGUGCGCAGGCGGUUUGCUAAGACCGAUGUGAAAUCCCCGGGCUCAACCUGGGAACUGCAUUGGUGACUGGCAGGCUAGAGUAUGGCAGAGGGGGGUAGAAUUCCACGUGUAGCAGUGAAAUGCGUAGAGAUGUGGAGGAAUACCGAUGGCGAAGGCAGCCCCCUGGGCCAAUACUGACGCUCAUGCACGAAAGCGUGGGGAGCAAACAGGAUUAGAUACCCUGGUAGUCCACGCCCUAAACGAUGUCAACUAGUUGUUGGGGAUUCAUUUCCUAGUAACGUAGCUAACGCGUGAAGUUGACCGCCUGGGGAGUACGGUCGCAAGAUUAAAACUCAAAUGGAAUUGACGGGGU